GAUGAACGCUGGCGGCGUGCUUAACACAUGCAAGUCGAACGGGAAUUAUUUUAUUGAAACUUCGGUCGAUUUAAUUUAAUUCUAGUGGUGGACGGGGGAGUAACGCCUGUGUAACCUGCCUUAUACAGGGGGAUAACAGUCAGAAAUGGCUUCUAAUAUCGCAUAACCGCACAGAGCUUCAUGGCUCAGUGUGAAAAACUCCGGUGGUAUAAGAUGGACCUGCGUUGGAGUAGCUUGUUGGCAGGGUAACGGCCUACCAAGGCGACGAUCCAUAGCCGGCAUGAGAGGGUGAACCGCAACCUUGGGACUGACAGACGGCGCGGAUUCCCACCGGAGGCAGCAAUUGGGACUAUUGCACAAUGGGGGAAACACUGAUGCAGCGACGCCGCGUGAAGGAAGAAGUAUCUCGGUAUGUAAACUUCUAUCAGCAGCGAAGAUAGUGACGGUACCUGACUAAGAAGCCCCGGCUAACUACGUG
rnacentral:rRNA from 1 species